rnacentral:sRNA from 1 species
GCUACGUACUUUUCCACAGCUUCAGAUCUAUUGGCAAUUCUUUCGAUUCUAUUCUGAGACUAAUGAUGAUCUACCUGCUAAGCGAUCAAAUCCGACUCUUUCUCCCGAAGAAUUGAAUUGCCAAAGGGGUCAGUUUGUGCCCGGUGCUAAUAUAUAUAUAGAAACUACGUCGGAUAAGCAGUACAAGAAGUGGGGGAUCAUAUUCAUAGUGCUCACCAUGUCAGAAUAUGGGAGUUAGGAAUUUGGAAGAACACUGAUGGAGAACCCUCAGGGAACGUGCAUGUCGGCGUCCCUAGUGAAGCGAGCCCCUUGGGGAAGGUCACAAUUUUGAGCUAAUAGCCACCACAUUGCUCGGUGCCCCUUCCACGAUAACUAAUGGGUCUACGGGUCUUCGUGGAAUAUGACUUAUCGAACCAACUUGUUAGUGAGUCAAUUGGUGCUUGCUGCCUGCGAGCUAGAAGACACUCCAGCUUCCGGACUCUUUUCAGAUCACUCAAAACUCAAUCAUGACGCAUUGCGGGAUGGCACAAUGCUGGGUAAAAGUGUUGAGGAUCACGGCGCUUGAAACGCAUGUAAGAGAUCUGAAACUCAUACAUGUAUCUGUAUAUAAAUAUAUAUCUGCCUCUGCUAGAACGGAUGCAGAAAAACACAACAAGCAUGAACACAUGACCAUCGCUUAAUAUCAACAGAAAGGUCACAAAUAAUGACGAUCCUUGAGGAGUGCUCCAGCUUGAGCUAAAAGACCAGAAUACUUAGAACGCCUCAUUGAUUCUUAAACAAUUGGGUUCCCAGGCCGUUUUGUGCCUGCAUGCCCCUGCUGUAGCAUCAAAGUCCUCUGUGCAAUUUCACAGACUUUUGUCCAAUCCAUUCCCCAUUUAUCCAGGAGAAUCUCCAUAUAUGCAUCCACAUCUGCUUGGACAUCCACCUCUGUUCCCUCACUCUCACUCUGCUCAUCUGAGUAAACCACCACCUCAUAAAAUGCAGCUAGUUCGCGGAUGGUUCUGAGAGCUUCCUGCUGCUGCCGCCUGUAUGGUGUGCGAUCGUUAGCUUCAUCCUUUGCCAGCUGACCAAGGCGGUAGAGGCCUUUCAUGUGUUUGGGAAAUCUGGGAUGGGAUUGCCAUUGAACAGUGUCGGGGCCGGUGGGCUUGAGAACUUUAACGAGAUUGAUGGGCUGAUGCAUUCGGCGA